AUACGGGGAGGGCAAGCGUUGCCCGGAAUCACUGGGCUUAAAGGGGGUGUAGGCGGCCGGGUGUGUCGGACGUGUAAUCCAUCGGCUCAACCGGUGGGCUGCGUCCGAAACUACCCGGCUAGAGGGCGCCAGAGGGGAGCGGAACUCACGGUGUAGCGGUGAAAUGCGUGGAUAUCGUGGGGAACGCCAGUGGGGAAGCCGGCUCCCUGGGGCGACCCUGACGCUGAGGCCCGAAAGCUGGGGGAGCGAAGGGGAUUAGAAACCCCAGUAGUCC
rnacentral:rRNA from 1 species